rnacentral:rRNA from 1 species
AUUGAACGCUGGCGGCAGGCCUAACACAUGCAAGUCGAACGGUAACAGGGAUCAGCUUGCUGAUUCGCUGACGAGUGGCGGACGGGUGAGUAAUGUCUGGGAAACUGCCUGAUGGAGGGGGAUAACUACUGGAAACGGUAGCUAAUACCGCAUAACGUCGCAAGACCAAAGAGGGGGACCUUCGGGCCUCUUGCCAUCGGAUGUGCCCAGAUGGGAUUAGCUAGUAGGUGGGGUAACGGCUCACCUAGGCGACGAUCCCUAGCUGGUCUGAGAGGAUGACCAGCCACACUGGAACUGAGACACGGUCCAGACUCCUACGGGAGGCAGCAGUGGGGAAUAUUGCACAAAGGGCGCAAGCCUGAUGCAGCCAUGCCGCGUGUAUGAAGAAGGACUUCGGGUUGUAAAGUACUUUCAGCGGGGAGGAAGGGAGUAAAGUUAAUACCUUUGCUCAUUGACGUUACCCGCAGAAGAAGCACCGGCUAACUCCGUG